AUGGACCAUUCAGAAAGAAACUCUCUCUGCAAGGAGUGAUGCAAAUCAAUCAUCUGUGAGUGGCUGAUGUCCCUGUGCAGUCACUUGUGCUGCCCACAGAGGAUGGAAGGUCACACCUCUUGGCUGACCUGCUUCAUCCUGAGGAAGGCAGCUUGCCACUGCUUGCCAGGCAUUUCUCCCUGAUGUGAAAAGUACUGUCCACCCACAGUUACAUCUGAAAAAUUACAAUAAAGGAGGCAGAGUGUGUUAUCCUGUGCUUGAGAGCCUCUGCAGAAAUGUGGAGUGACAGCAUGAUGAUUGCAGCUGAUGAAAAAAGUGUCUGUGGCAGAGCUCUCCGGCUCUCUUUUUAUCUCGUUUGAACGUAAACAGCCAUUUCAAGAACUCCAACUUCCUUUAAGUGACAGGCGUAUUUGGUGCCGUGUCACUGCUCAAUCAAAUAACCUUCUCAUGUGCAUAAAUGCGAAUUCGUGUGGGUCAAAAAAAUGCCUUUUUUCACGCUGAAAUAAAAGGCUGUGUUCCUUCUGCUUUGGGAACUCUGCUUGAGUCCUCCUGUCUGUUGCUUUCCCCCCGUGAACAACGAGUACCUCUUUUGUAGCUGCUGGUCUCGAAGCUGCGGUUUCAAAGGUACUGAACCAUUUUUUCCUCAGGUGAAUACAAGGAGGUCCAAAACUGAUUCCUGUAAACAGUGGACCCGCAGUUAGAACCCACUGUGCCAAACAAAAGCUGUUAGCCUGCUUGUGCCUCAGAGCGUGUGCCAACACUGCCGUCUAGCUUCUGCAAGGCUUCUCUGCUUUUGCGUCACCUCAGCUGCUCGCCUUCAUGUGUUACACAGCUUUGCCAAACCUCCAAUGGUGUCUCCAGGUCCUGCAGCAUUGACUUUUGUUCAGAUACAGCUGUUCGUUUCUACAGAAACAUUUGAACUGGCCACAGCACAGGAUGAGUAACGGCAGGUGGCUGCAAGGCACAUCGGAGGAGACCGAAAGUGGCAAUGCAGGAAGGCAACUCCCAGCCUGUGGCUGCAGAUAGGAGAUUGAAACUCUUGCAGGAUUUUUGGCAGCACCACAACUCAGACAAACUGCUGCUAAGUCUGGUGUGUGUUUCUAAUCAGAAAGCACUGGCAAUGUCCUCGACCAGGAUCCUCUGAGAUGUUACCCUCCUUUGGGCUCAGUGUUGUCUUUGUUUUCUUGCAUCUCUCACCCUUGUCCUUUCGUGUCUCAUACAAUGUAUACAUCUUUUUGCUUCUUCUUUCCACACAGCAUUUGCAACUUCUGCUUCUUGAUCUGAGAGGAGCUGGGAGCUAUUUGUAGUCUGCAGUACUCUCUUUAGGCUUAUAUGAAUUUCUGAUCUGGUCACUGCUGGGAUUUUAGGAGUGUAAAAGGUUUCUAUUUACCAAGAACUUCUGUGUAUUUAGCAAAAUCUGCAUUUAUACAGCGUUUAGCUUACAGGUAGCAUUGUCUAAAUAAUGGUGAGGCUAAUGAAACCAUAUAAUUGUUACUAAACAGGCCAAGGGCCCUAUUAAACUCUGUUUUGUAGUUGUUUAAUUCCUCCCUUUUCAAAUACUGUGUAAUGCAGGAAUGGAGCAAUUACUUUCCAGUUUCCUUACUGGGGUAAUUUGGGAGAAAUUUAUUAUUAUCUGUAUGUUGAAGUGAUUUAAAGCUGAAUUUAGCCCACAGUUGCCUGGCUAAUUAUUUUGUUUCUGUUCUUGAUUGUUUUCAGUAACCUGCAUUAAAUAACUCAGCUACAACAUUAGCUAUCCUAACGUAUUCCUAUCAACCUUAUUAUUAACAUGUAUCCAUGGGUACUGCCUCACGUUAGUGAGGCAGGGACUUAUUUGAAGGGAAAUCUUUUGUAUCUGUUGAAGCAGCUGUUAGUGUGGCUGCAUACCUGGCUGAAUCAAUUAAUCAUCUCAUUAAACAAAAGUCCUCUGAGCUA